GGACAUCAAGAAGUCCUACAGGUAACACUAUACCAGGACAUCAAGAAGUCCUACAGGUAACACUAUACACCACUACACCAGGACAUCAAGAAGUCCUACAGGUAACACUAUACACCACUACACCAGGACAUCAAGAAGUCCUACAGGUAACACUACACCAGGACAUCAAGAUGUCCUACAGGUAACACUACACCAGGACAUCAAGAAGUCCUACAGGUAACACUAUACCAGGACAUCAAGAAGUCCUACAGGUAACACUAUACCAGGACAUCAAGAAGUCCUACAGGUAACACUACACACCACUACACCAGGACAUCAAGAAGUCCUACAGGUAACACUACACACCACUAUACCAGGACAUCAAGAAGUCAUACAGGUAACACUAUACCAGGACAUCAAGAAGUCCUACAGGUAACACUAUACACCACUACACCAGGACAUCAAGAAGUCAUACAGGUAACACUAUACACCACUACACCAGGACAUCAAGAAGUCCUACAGGUAACACUACACCAGGACAUCAAGAAGUCCUACAGGUAACACUACACCAGGACAUCAAGAAGUCCUACAGGUAACACUAUACACCACUACACCAGGACAUCAAGAAGUCCUACAGGUAACACUACACCAGGACAUCAAGAAGUCCUACAGGUAACACUACACCAGGACAUCAAGAAGUCCUACAGGUAACACUACACCAGGACAUCAAGAAGUCCUACAGGUAACACUAUACACCACUAUACCAGGACAUCAAGAAGUCCUACAGGUAACACUAUACCAGGACAUCAAGAAGUCCUACAGGUAACACUAUACACCACUAUACCAGGACAUCAAGAAGUCCUACAGGUAACACUAUACACCACUAUACCAGGACAUCAAGAUGUCCUACAGGUAACACUAUACACCACUACACCAGGACAUCAAGAUGUCCUACAGGUAACACUAUACACCACUACACCAGGACAUCAAGAUGUCCUACAGGUAACACUAUACACCACUACACCAGGACAUCAAGAUGUCCUACAGGUAACACUAUACACCACUACACCAGGACAUCAAGAUGUCCUACAGGUAACACUAUACCAGGACAUCAAGAAGUCCUACAGGUAACACUAUACACCACUACACCAGGACAUCAAGAUGUCCUACAGGUAACACUAUACACCACUACACCAGGACAUCAAGAUGUCCUACAGGUAACACUAUACCAGGACAUCAAGAAGUCCUACAGGUAACACUAUACCAGGACAUCAAUAAGUCCUACAGGUAACACUAUACACCACUAUACCAGGACAUCAAUAAGUCCUACAGGUAACACUAUACACCACUAUACCAGGACAUCAAGAAGUCCUACAGGUAACACUAUACACCACUACACCAGGACAUCAAGAAGUCCUACAGGUAACACUAUACACCACUAUACCAGGACAUCAAGAAGUCCUACAGGUAACACUAUACCAGGACAUCAAGAUGUCCUACAGGUAACA